CUCCACCAUCCUCUUCCCUCUGUCCUGGGCCACCCGCAGUGGGGCAGGCCGGCAGACAGAGGCUUCCAGCUGAAAGAUCAGGGAGCUGGGAUCAAGGGGUUCCCCUGCCCACGGAGGCUGCGAUGCCAGUAAGAGCCCCAGAGGGUGCAACGAAGGGGGCCCCUGCUGCUCUGCCCCACUCACCCAUCAGGAUGAACCCGAGACUUGCGGCCUCACCAGGGGAGAUCACGCAUUCCUCGGCCCCUCUGCGCCGUUGGCACCAGGAGGAAUUUGGCAGUAUCCAGUUGAGGUGAAGACACACUGGGGACCUGGCAAGUGCUCUCCCACGUCUACACCCAGGGACACACAUGAGAAGGUUCACACAGCACAGUCUGAAUCGGCGAGGGACUGGAAACGACACAAACGCUCGUCUACAGGAGAUGGAUGAUGAACUGUGAUCUACCAGCUCCGUGGAAUAGUACACAACAGUGAGAAUGAAUGACCCACAGCUACGUUGGAUGGACAUCAAAAACAAUAUUAAACAGAAGAAGCAAAACAAAGCCCGAUACAUCCUAGGACUUUGUUCAGAAAUAGUUUAAAACCAGACAAAAUGAAAUAUGCUCUUUAGGGAAGCAUACAGAGGUAGCAAAACCAAAGAGAAAAGCAAGGCAGCGACUGCCUCAAAAAUCAGGGGAGAAGCUGCCU